UAGGGAAUCUUCGGCAAUGGGGGCAGCCCUGACCGAGCAACGCCGCGUGAGUGAAGAAGGUUUUCGGAUCGUAAAGCUCUGUUGUAAGAGAAGAACGUGUGUGAGAGUGGAAAGUUCACACAGUGACGGUAACUUACCAGAAAGGGACGGCUAACUACGUGUCAG
rnacentral:rRNA from 1 species